rnacentral:rRNA from 1 species
AUUGAACGCUGGCGGCAGGCUUAACACAUGCAAGUCGAGCGAGCGGCGGACGGGUGAGUAAUGUCUGGGAAACUGCCUGAUGGAGGGGGAUAACUACUGGAAACGGUAGCUAAUACCGCAUACCAUCAGAUGUGCCCAGAUGGGAUUAACUAGUCGGUGGGGUAAUGGCUCCCCUAGGCGACGAUCCCUCGCUGGUCCGAGAGGAUGACCAGCCACAAGGGAACGGAGACACGGUCCAGACGCCUAAGGGAGGCAGCAGUGGGGAAUAUUGCACAAUGGGCGAAAGCCUGAUUCAGCCAUGCCGCGGGUAUGAAGAAGGCCUUCGGGUUGUAAAGCACUUUCAGCGAGGAGGCGUUACCCGCAGAAGAAGCACCGGCUAACUCCGUGCCAGCCGCCGCGGUAAUAC